AUGCGCGUGCGCACGAGUCGCAGCCGAGCAGCUGCGCACGCUUAUCCUAACGGGCGACCUCUGAAAACCCAAGUGUUUCGCUGCUAAGAAGCCGACCACAUGUCAAAAGUGUCGAGUCACCCCCGAGAGCAGCCCUUGACCCGGGAACGCCUGCGUCACGCUGGACUACACGCCGUGCGUUUUCCAGAGAGCCAAUUAGGAUCGAGAAGGUGUAAAGGGAUUUCCACCAGGCUGGGAGACGUUAAUGAGAUCAUCUCACGAGAGCGAUGCAGCGGCGCCCGAGGGCCUUUCCCCAGCGCAGGCCAGAGAGCUGCUUUUGCUUCCGAAAGAGGUGAAACCUGCUCUGACAGCUCAACGGGACGUCCCACAUGGGAGCAAAAGAAACAAGUAGACAAAGAGGAGGACUUCACACUGCCAGGCUGAUUUUUUUUCCAUUGUGUCGGCCUUGAUCUUGUGAAUACUGGUCUCAUCUUUUCCUCUUUUUUUUUAAACCAUUUUUUUAAGCCUGCUUCACCAGUCUGCCCCCAGCUGUCGGAAUAUUGGCAAUAAGCACUAACGGGAGUAAACAAAGCAGCAGACGAUGCCCGAAGACGGUUACCUGGAGGAAACAAGAAAGUCCCGUUCUCCCCACGUUUUGCCGUUUCUUUUAAUCCGCGGGGCUCUUAGAGGGGAACAAUGUUUUUGAGAUGCCGUCAUGUGGAGCUCAACAUACAUUUACUGCCUGUUAAAAUUUA
ensembl:lncRNA